rnacentral:rRNA from 1 species
GAUGAACGCUGGCGGCGUGCCUAAUACAUGCAAGUCGAGCGAACGGACGAGAAGCUUGCUUCUCUGAUGUUAGCGGCGGACGGGUGAGUAACACGUGGAUAACCUACCUAUAAGACUGGGAUAAUUUCGGGAAACCGGAGCUAAUACCGGAUAAUAUUUUGAACCGCAUGGUUCAAAAGUGAAAGACGGUCUUGCUGUCACUUAUAGAUGGAUCCGCGCUGCAUUAGCUAGUUGGUAAGGUAACGGCUUACCAAGGCAACGAUGCAUAGCCGACCUGAGAGGGGGAUCGGCCACACUGGAACUGAGACACGGUCCAGACUCCUACGGGAGGCAGCAGUAGGGAAUCGUCCGCAAUGGGCGAAAGCCUGACGGAGCAACGCCGCGUGAGUGAUGAAGGUCUUCGGAUCGUAAAACUCUGUUAUUAGGGAAGAACAUAUGUGUAAGUAGCUGUGCACAUCUUGACGGUACCUAAUCAGAAAGCCACGGCUAACUACGUG